CCCCUCUCGUUCCUAUUGGAGGAGUCCAGCUCGAGGCCUCGCCCCCAGAGCGCGCGGGCGCCAUUUUGACUUCUCUGCCCGGAGGGACGUAGCGGCUUCCGGGCUUGCUUGGAGUGGGCGGUACGCUAGCCAGAGGGAUUCCUAACCCAGCUGUUCGGUCUGUGAGUGCCACCCGGAGCGUUUGGGGAAGCAUCCAUUCUUUGGUGGCCAAAGUGUUGGAGUUUCAGCUUCAACAUCAGUCCUUCCAAUGAACGUGCAUAGCGGUUAUCAAGACUGGAACUUCUUUUUUUUUAAAAUAAGGAUGAGCUGCAUUGACACAUGAUGACCAAGGUCCCAGUUCAUCCUCUGUGUUCACUGAUGAAGGUCAAAGCCUCUUUAAGAUCACUCAUGGCCGACCCAUGCAUGGACCAGAUCAGCUCUAGGUGGCAAGCUCCCUGACUAAGUACCACAGCUCUUCUUCCAAUAUUGAGCCCUGUCCCACUGGUCCUGCCCAGUAGCCACAUGGAGGUGAACAAGAACACAGUUUGGAUAUUUAUUCAUUGAAACACCAGAAGUUUUGUGCCUCUUGUCACAGUGAACCCAGAUUCCUGUCUGGUGGGUUGUAAACAGAUGAGUCAUUUAUUUAGACCCUCUCGCUCUAUGCUCAACCCAAUCCAUGACAAAUUCUUACCAAGUGACCUCUCAAACCCAGGAAACUAUCACUCUGGAAAUUAAAACUAUUAUAGACCUUCAAACUAUAACCUAGUUCCAGCAGGAAAAAUAAGCCCUUGUUGGUGCACAGCUCUCUCUGCACAAGUGCCACCUUUUGGUCUUUUAAAUGUUUGCCCCUUGGACUGAAGGAUGGAGUGGGGAGUGUUUUGUUUACCAGUUGUUCAUUAUAUAUGUUAAGCAGA